UUAUAAAUUUAAUUAUUAUUAUUGAUUUUUUAAAGUAUUAUUUUAUUUAUUAUUAUAAAAGAAAAAUUAAUUUUUUAUUAUAGUUUACUAGUAAAGUGAUUGAAUUUAUUUAUAUAUUAAUAAGAAAAAUUUAUUUUUUGUACCUUGUGUAUCAGGGUUGAUUAAUUUUAUAAUUAUUAUUAAUUUUUCUCGAAUUAAGAAGAGCUAGUUAUGUAUAUGUUUAAUUUUUUCAUAAAUUUUCAUAAUAUGUAAUUUGAAAUGAAAUGUUAUUCGUUUCUUAAUAUAUCUAGUUUUUUAAGAAAAGAAUUUAAUUCUCUUAUUAUUUAUUAUUAGUUAAUUUUUAGUUAAUAAUUUUUAGUAUGAAAUAAAUAAAGGGAUAAGCUUUUAUUUUAAUAAUUAAAAAUUUAUUUGGUUUUAUUUUUUGUAUAAUUUAAAUUGUUAAUCAUUUUUAUAAUAUAAUAGUUAAUUUUAUUUAAUUAAUGAUUUAUAUUUAUUUUAAUUUUUUUAUUAAAAAUUUAUGUUUAAUUUUUUAGCUUUUUUAUAAUGAUUAAAUUAGUAGAUAAAUAUGUAUUUUAUUAUUUAUUUUUAAGAUAAUAAAAAGGAACUCGGCAAAUAAAUUUUUCGCCUGUUUAUUAAAAACAUGUCUUUUUGAUUAUAAUUUAAGGUUUAAUCUGCUCAAUGAUUUGUUAAAUUGCCGCAGUAUUUUGACUGUGCAAAGGUAGCAUAAUAAUUAGCUUUUUUAUUGAGAGCUGGAAUGAAUGAUUGGACGAAAAAAUUUCUGUCUCUUUAUUAUUUAUUAUUUAAUUUAACUUUUAAGUUAAAAGGCUUAAAUUUUUUUAAAAGACGAGAAGACCCUAUAGAGUUUUAUUUUUAUUUUUAUAAUUUAUUUUUAGAAUUUAAAAUAUUUUAUAAAAUAAAAAAUUUAGUUGGGGUGACUGAAAGAUUAAUUAAACUCUUUUAAUUGAAAUCAUUUAUUUAUGAAUAAAAAAAUUAUUUUUAUAAAUUUAAAAUAAAUUACCUUAGGGAUAACAGCGUUAUUUUUCUUUAGAGUUCUUAUAGAAAGGAAAGAUUGCGACCUCGAUGUUGGAUUAAAAUUUAUUUUUGGUGUAGAAGCUUAAAUAUUAAGUCUGUUCGACUUUUAAAAUUUUACAUGAUCUGAGUUUAAACCGGUGUAAGCCAGGUUGGUUUCUAUCUUUAAAUUUUUAAUAUAUUUUAGUACGAAAGGACCAAAUAUAUAAUAUAUUAUUUUAUUUUGAAUAAUAUU
rnacentral:rRNA from 1 species